UUAUCCAAGUCUACACCAAUUAAGAAGCCAUCAUGUUCUACACACGAACCUUGAUACUCAAUUUGUAAAGGCUGAAGCCUGUGGCAUUUGCUGAAGAGAUAAAUUCCUAUGGCAAAACAAGGGAUUCAAAGCUGAAUUGCAGUUGAUGUGCAUAACCAAAUGGAA